AGUGAACGCUGGCGGCAGGCCUAAUACAUGCAAGUCGAACGGCAGCACAGCAGAGCUUGCUCUGUGGGUGGCGAGUGGCGGACGGGUGAGGAAUACGUGGGAAUCUGCCCAGUCGUGGGGGAUAACGUAGGGAAACUUACGCUAAUACCGCAUGCGCCCUUCGGGGGAAAGCCGGGGACGUUCGGGCCUGGCGCGAUUGGAUGAGCCCACGUCGGAUUAGCUAGUUGGCGGGGUAAAGGCCCACCAAGGCGACGAUCCGUAGCUGGUCUGAGAGGAUGAUCAGCCACACUGGAACUGAGACACGGUCCAGACUCCUACGGGAGGCAGCAGUAGGGAAUAUUGGACAAUGGGCGCAAGCCUGAUCCAGCCAUGCCGCGUGAGUGAAGAAGGCCCUCGGGUUGUAAAGCUCUUUUGUCCGGAAAGAAAAGUGCCGGGUUAAUACCCUGGUGUCCUGACGGUACCGGAAGAAUAAGCACCGGCUAACUUCGUGCCAGCAGCCGCCGUAAAAC
rnacentral:rRNA from 1 species